UACGGGGGGGGCAAGCGUUGUUCGGAAUUACUGGGCGUAAAGGGCUCGUAGGCGGCCAACUAAGUCAGACGUGAAAUCCCUCGGCUUAACCGGGGAACUGCAUCUGAUACUGGAUGGCUUGAGUUCGGGAGAGGGAUGCGGAAUUCCAGGUGUAGCGGUGAAAUGCGUAGAUAUCUGAAGGAACAUCAGUGGCGAAAGCGACUUCCUGGACCAAUACUGACGCUCAUGUGCGAAAGCGUGGGGAGCAAACAGG
rnacentral:rRNA from 1 species